rnacentral:rRNA from 1 species
AACUCCCCCUGAGAUAAGAUCUCCCAUCCGAGAGGAGUAAGGGACGAGGCAGACUACCUCGUUGAUAGGCCGGAGGUGUAAGCACGGCAACGUGUUCAGCUGACCGGUACUAAUAACCCGAGGGCUUGACCUU